UCCGUUGGUGAACCAGCGGAGGGAUCAUUACAGAGUUGCAAAACUCCCUAAACCAUUGUGAACGUUACCUAAACCGUUGCUUCGGUGGGCGGCCCCGGGGUUCUCCCCGGGCGCCCCUGGGCCCCACCGCGGGCGCCCGCCGGAGGUCACCAAACUCUUGAUAAUUCAUGGCCUCUCUGAGUCUUCUGUACUGAAUAAGUCAAAACUUUCAACAACGGAUCUCUUGGUUCUGGCAUCGAUGAAGAACGCAGCGAAAUGCGAUAAGUAAUGUGAAUUGCAGAAUUCAGUGAAUCAUCGAAUCUUUGAACGCACAUUGCGCCCGCCAGUAUUCUGGCGGGCAUGCCAGUUCGAGCGUCAUUUCAACCAUCAAGCCCCCGGCUUGUGUUGGGGACCUGCGGCUGCCGCAGGCCCUGAAAAGCAGUGGCGGGCUCGCUGUCACACCGAGCGUAGUAGCAUACAUCUCGCUCCGGGCGUGCUGCGGGUUCCGGCCGUUAAACCGCCUUCGUAAGGUUGACCUCGGAUCAGGUAGGAAGACCCGCUGAACUUAAGCAUAUCAAUAAGCGGAGGA
rnacentral:rRNA from 1 species